UGGGGAAUCUUCCGCAAUGGACGAAAGUCUGACGGAGCAACGCCGCGUGAGUGAUGACGGCCUUCGGGUUGUAAAGCUCUGUUAAUCGGGACGAAAGGCCUUCUUGCGAAUAGUUAGAAGGAUUGACGGUACCGGAAUAGAAAGCCACGGCUAACUACGUGCCAGCAGCCGCGGUAAUACGUAGGUGGCAAGCGUUGUCCGGAAUUAUUGGGCGUAAAGCGCGCGCAGGCGGAUUAGUCAGUCUGUCUUAAAAGUUCGGGGCUUAACCCCGUGAUGGGAUGGAAACUGCCAAUCUAGAGUAUCGGAGAGGAAAGUGGAAUUCCUAGUGUAGCGGUGAAAUGCGUAGAUAUUAGGAAGAACACCAGUGGCGAAGGCGACUUUCUGGACGAAAACUGACGCUGAGGCGCGAAAGCCAGGGGAGCGAACGGGAUUAGAUACCCCGGUAGUCCUGGCCGUAAACGAUGGGUACUAGGUGUAGGAGGUAUCGACCCCUUCUGUGCCGGAGUUAACGCAAUAAGUACCCCGCCUGGGGAGUACGACCGCAAGGUUG
rnacentral:rRNA from 1 species